AUUGAACGCUGGCGGCAUGCCUUACACAUGCAAGUCGAACGGUAACAGGUUAAGCUGACGAGUGGCGAACGGGUGAGUAAUAUAUCGGAACGUGCCCAGUCGUGGGGGAUAACGUAGCGAAAGCUACGCUAAUACCGCAUACGAUCUACGGAUGAAAGCGGGGGAUCGCAAGACCUCGCGCGAUUGGAGCGGCCGAUAUCAGAUUAGGUUGUUGGUGAGGUAAAGGCUCACCAAGCCUGCGAUCUGUAGCUGGUCUGAGAGGACGACCAGCCACACUGGAACUGGGACACGGGCCAGACUCCUACGGGAGGCAGCAGUGGGGAAUUUUGGACAAUGGUCGCAAGUCUGAUCCAGCAAUGCCGCGUGCAGGUCGAAGGCCUUCGGGUGGUAAACUGCUUUUGUACGGAACGAAACGGCGAGCUCUAAUACAGUUUGCUAAUGACGGUACCGUAAGAAUAAGCACCGGCUAACUACGUGCCAGCAGCCGCCGUAA
rnacentral:rRNA from 1 species